GACGAACGCUGGCGGCGUGCUUAACACAUGCAAGUCGAGCGGUAAGGCCUCUUCGGGGGUACACGAGCGGCGAACGGGUGAGUAACACGUGGGUGACCUGCCCUCAGCUCUGGGAUAAGCCUGGGAAACUGGGUCUAAUACCGGAUAUGACCUUUCCUCGCAUGGGGUUUGGUGGAAAGUUUUUUCGGCUGGGGAUGGGCCCGCGGCCUAUCAGCUUGUUGGUGGGGUGAUGGCCUACCAAGGCGACGACGGGUAGCCGGCCUGAGAGGGCGACCGGCCACACUGGGACUGAGACCCGGCCCAGACUCCUACGGGAGGCGGAGGGGGGGAAUAUUGCGCAAGGGGGGGAAGCCUGACGCAGCGCCGCCGCGGGGGGGGUGGCGGCCUUGGGGUUGUAAACCUUUUUCGCCCCCGCGGAAUUUGGAGGGUAGGGGUAAAAGAAGCACCGGCCAACUACGG
rnacentral:rRNA from 1 species